rnacentral:rRNA from 1 species
GCGGCCUAUCAGCUUGUUGGUGAGGUAAUGGCUCACCAAGGCGACGACGGGUAGCCGGCCUGAGAGGGCGACCGGCCACACAGGGACUGAGACACGGCCCAGACUCCUACGGGAGGCAGCAGUGGGGAAUAUUGGGCAAUGGACGAAAGUCUGACCCAGCGACGCCGCGUGCGGGAUGAAGGCCUUCGGGUUGUAAACCGCUUUCAGCAGGGAAUAAGCGAAAGUGACGGUACCUACAAAAGAAGCACCGGCUAACUAUGUGCCAGCAGCCGCGGUAAUACAUAGGGUGCAAGCGUUGUCCGGAAUUAUUGGGCGUAAAGAGCUCGUAGGUCGUUUGUUACGUCGGAUGUGAAAACCUGGGGCUUAACCCCAGACCUGCAUUCGAUACGGGCGAGCUAGAGUGUGGUAGGGGAGACUGGAAUUCCU